AGUUAUAGUAUAAAGUGCUGUAACUAUAAGUAAUUUGUUUAGUUAUAUACGAUUUAGAGUGCAUUUAUAAAACUUUAUCAUUUUAUAUAUGUGGUGAUGAGAUUACCGCUUAUGUAAAAAAUAAAUAUAUUUUUCUAAUUUUAAAGUUAUUGAAGAGAUAAAUUUACCUGCUGUAGCUGGAAUUGCGACUAAUUUAGACGUAAUUCUAACCGCUAUAGUUGAGCCUCCUUGUGCAAUUCUUACUGGAGCAAUUGAAUUUAAAUAUUUCAAACCAAACAAUAGAUUUAGAUCUGUAUGUAAUUAUAAUUGUAGUACA
rnacentral:lncRNA from 1 species